UACGUAGGGUCCGAGCGUUGUCCGGAAUUACUGGGCGUAAAGAGCUCGUAGGUGGUUUGUCGCGUUGUUCGUGAAAACUCACAGCUCAACUGUGGGCGUGCGGGCGAUACGGGCAGACUUGAGUACUGCAGGGGAGACUGGAAUUCCUGGUGUAGCGGUGGAAUGCGCAGAUAUCAGGAGGAACACCGGUGGCGAAGGCGGGUCUCUGGGACCUGACUGACGCUCAUGUACGAAAGCGUGGGGAGCAAACAGG
rnacentral:rRNA from 1 species